rnacentral:rRNA from 1 species
CACGUAGGCACCAAGCGUUGUCCGGAUUUAUUGGGCGUAAAGAGCUCGUAGGCGGUUCGGUAAGUCGGGUGUGAAAACUUUGGGCUCAACCCAAAGCGUGCACUCGAUACUGCCAUGACUAGAGUUCGGUAGGGGAGUGGGGAAUUCCUAGUGUAGCGGUGAAAUGCGCAGAUAUUAGGAGGAACACCGGUGGCGAAGGCGGAUCUCUGGGCCAUUACGUGACGCUGAGGAGCGAAAGCGUGGGGAGCGAAGAGG